rnacentral:misc_RNA from 1 species
GAGAGAGAGUGAGAGCAAUGCAGAAGGUCAUUUGAGAUAUACCGAACGUAUGUAUACCACGAGUUUCAUCUAUUAUGUGCAAAAGGUCAUCACAAACUUCCAAAAGGAAGCCAGCCAGUAAUCACCAAUGUACAAAUUAUGUGAAAAGCCAGAGAUUUUGGAUUUAGUGCAAAGAUGCUUCCCAAAAUAAAUUCAAAGCGAAACUGAUGAGAUCAUGACAUAGGUAUUCACCUGCAUGGUAGAAAGAUUAGCAGA